rnacentral:rRNA from 1 species
UAACACGUGGAUAACCUGCCUCACACUGGGGGACAACAGUUAGAAAUGACUGCUAAUACCGCAUAAGCGCACAGUACCGCAUGGUACAGUGUGAAAAACUCCGGUGGUGUGAGAUGGAUCCGCGUCUGAUUAGCCAGUUGGCGGGGUAACGGCCCACCAAAGCGACGAUCAGUAGCCGACCUGAGAGGGUGACCGGCCACAUUGGGACUGAGACACGGCCCAAACUCCUACGGGAGGCAGCAGUGGGGAAUAUUGCACAAUGGGCGAAAGCCUGAUGCAGCGACGCCGCGUGAGUGAAGAAGUAUUUCGGUAUGUAAAGCUCUAUCAGCAGGGAAGAUAAUGACGGUACCUGACUAAGAAGCCCCGGCUAACUACGUGCCAGCAGCCGCGGUAAUACGUAGGGGGCAAGCGUUAUCCGGAUUUACUGGGUGUAAAGGGAGCGUAGACGGCAUGGCAAGUCUGAAGUGAAAACCCAGGGCUCAACCCUGGGACUGCUUUGGAAACUGUCAAGCUAGAGUGCAGGAGAGGUAAGUGGAAUUCCUAGUGUAGCGGUGAAAUGCGUAGAUAUUAGGAGGAACACCAGUGGCGAAGGCGGCUUACUGGACUGUAACUGACGUUGAGGCUCGAAAGCGUGGGGAGCAAACAGGAUUAGAUACCCUGGUAGUCCACGCCGUAAACGAUGAGUGCUAGGUGU